rnacentral:rRNA from 1 species
UGGGGAAUAUUGGACAAUGGAGGCAACUCUGAUCCAGCAAUUCUGCGUGUGUGAAGAAGGUUUUAGGACUGUAAAACACUUUUAGUAGGGAAGAAAGAAAUGACGGUACCUACAGAAGAAGCGACGGCUAAAUACGUGCCAGCAGCCGCGGUAAUACGUAUGUCGCGAGCGUUAUCCGGAAUUAUUGGGCUUAAAGGGCAUCUAGGCGGUAAGACAAGUUGAAGGUGAAAACCUGUGGCUCAACCAUAGGCUUGCCUACAAAACUGUUGAACUAGAGUACUGGAAAGGUGGGUGGAACUACACGAGUAGAGGUGAAAUUCGUAGAUAUGUGUAGGAAUGCCGAUGAUGAAGAUAACUCACUGGACAGAAACUGACGCUGAAGUGCGAAAGCUAGGGGAGCAAACAGG